GAGGAAAAGAAACUAACAAGGAUUCCCCUAGUAACUGCGAGUGAAGCGGGAAAAGCUCAAAUUUAAAAUCUGGCGGUCUCUGGCCGUCCGAGUUGUAAUCUAGAGAAGUGAUGCCCGCGCUGGACCGUGUACAAGUCUCCUGGAAUGGAGCGUCAUAGAGGGUGAGAAUCCCGUCUCUGACACGGACUACCAGGGCUUUGUGGUACGCUCUCAAAGAGUCGAGUUGUUUGGGAAUGCAGCUCUAAAUGGGUGGUAAAUUCCAUCUAAAGCUAAAUAUUGGCGAGAGACCGAUAGCGAACAAGUACCGUGAGGGAAAGAUGAAAAGAACUUUGGAAAGAGAGUUAAACAGUACGUGAAAUUGCUGAAAGGGAAACGCUUGAAGUCAGUCGCGUUGGCCAGGAAUCAGCCUCGCUCUUGCGUGGUGUACUUUCUGGUUGACGGGUCAGCAUCAAUUUUGACUGCUGGAAAAAGGCUUAGGGAAUGUGGCAGCUUCGGCUGUGUUAUAGCCCUUGGUCACAUACAGCGGUUGGGAUUGAGGAACUCAGCACGCCGCAAGGCCGGGUUUCGACCACGUUCGUGCUUAGGAUGCUGGCAUAAUGGCUUUAAGCGACCCGUCUUGAAACACGGACCAAGGAGUCUAACAUGCCUGCGAGUGUUUGGGUGGUAAACCCGAGCGCGUAAUGAAAGUGAAAGUUGAGAUCCCUGUCGUGGGGAGCAUCGACGCCCGGACCUGAACUUUUGUGACGGAUCCGCGGUAGAGCAUGUAUGUUGGGACCCGAAAGAUGGUGAACUAUGCCUGAAUAGGGUGAAGCCAGAGGAAACUCUGGUGGAGGCUCGUAGCGAUUCUGACGUGCAAAUCGAUCGUCAAAUUUGGGUAUAGGGGCGAAAGACUAAUCGAACCAUCUAGUAGCUGGUUCCUGCCGA
rnacentral:rRNA from 1 species